rnacentral:rRNA from 1 species
CAGUCGCCGCGGUAAUACGUAGGUGGCAAGCGUUGUCCGGAAUUAUUGGGCGUAAAGCGCGCGCAGGUGGUUCCUUAAGUCUGAUGUGAAAGCCCACGGCUCAACCGUGGAGGGUCAUUGGAAACUGGGGGACUUGAGUGCAGAAGAGGAAAGUGGAAUUCCAAGUGUAGCGGUGAAAUGCGUAGAUAUUUGGAGGAACACCAGUGGCGAAGGCGACUUUCUGGUCUGUAACUGACACUGAGGCGCGAAAGCGUGGGGAGCAAACAGGAUUAGAGACCCCGGUAGUCCCUGUCUCUUAUAC